GUACACUCCUGCGGGAGGCAGCAGUGGGGAAUUUUGGACAAUGGGCGAAAGCCUGAUCCAGCAAUGCCGCGUGAGUGAAGAAGGCCUUCGGGUUGUAAAGCUCUUUUGUCAGGGAAGAAACGGUGAAAGCUAAUAUCUUUUGCUAAUGACGGUACCUGAAGAAUAAGCACCGGCUAACUACGUGCCAGCAGCCGCGGUAAUACGUAGGGUGCAAGCGUUAAUCGGAAUUACUGGGCGUAAAGCGUGCGCAGGCGGUUUUGUAAGUCUGAUGUGAAAUCCCCGGGCUCAACCUGGGAAUUGCAUUGGAGACUGCAAGGCUAGAAUCUGGCAGAGGGGGGUAGAAUUCCACGUGUAGCAGUGAAAUGCGUAGAUAUGUGGAGGAACACCGAUGGCGAAGGCAGCCCCCUGGGUCAAGAUUGACGCUCAUGCACGAAAGCGUGGGGAGCAAACAGGAUUAGAUAACCCUGGUAGUCCCAUGAU
rnacentral:rRNA from 1 species